ACGUAGGUGGCGAGCGUUGUUCGGAUUUAUUGGGCGUAAAGGGUCUGUAGGGGGUUGAUUAAGUCUGAUGUGAAAUCCCGUGGCUCAACCAUGGAACUGCAUUGGAGACUGAUUGACUAGAGUUCUGGAGAGGUAAGCGGAAUUCCAGGUGUAGCGGUGGAAUGCGUAGAUAUCUGGAAGAACACCGAUAGCGAAGGCAGCUUACUGGACAGUGACUGACCCUGAAAGACGAAAGCGUGGGGAGCAAACAG
rnacentral:rRNA from 1 species